rnacentral:rRNA from 1 species
CGCAUCUGUGCAUGCAGCAUAUCAAUAAGCGGAGGAAAAGAAACUAACAAGGAUUCCCUCAGUAACGGCGAGUGAAGCGGGAAGAGCUCAAAUUUGAAAUCUUGAAAGGUCACCUUUCACGAAUUGUAGUUUAAAGAAGUGUUUUCUGUUACGAUCGUAAUAUAAGUUCUUUGGAAUAGGACAUCACAGAGGGUGAGAAUCCCGUCUAUGAUUGCGAUUUGUAGCUUUGUGAUACACUUUCAAAGAGUCGGGUUGUUUGGGAAUGCAGCCCAAAACGGGAGGUAAAUUUCUUCUAAGGCUAAAUAUUGGCGAGAGACCGAUAGCGAACAAGUACCGUGAGGGAAAGAUGAAAAGAACUUUGAAAGGAGAGUUAAAUAGUACGUGAAAUUGUCAAAAGGGAAGCGUUUAACACCAGUGUUGUUUUCUGAAAAUCAACCUCUGUUAGCUUUAUGCAUGUUUGUUUAGACCUAAUCAGCUAUCUUGCAUGUUCUAUUGUUUGCAGUGGUGCACUUUUCAGUUUACAGGUCAACAUCAGUUUUUUUUACCGUAAAAAAGUUAAAGAAAGGUAGCUCAUGGCUCCGGUCGUGAGUGUUAUAGUCUUUUUCCUAUGCGGUAGGAGAGACUGAGGUCUGCAGUGUAGGCUAUUUGGCUAGAUACUCAGGUGCUAUGUGAUACCAUUUCAUAAACAACUUGUUGAUUAUGUUUUGUCUAUUGCAUACUCGCUUGUACUAUCAUACCUACGCUUAGGAUGUUGACGAUCAGCUGAGCGCG